ACGCCUGGUCUUCCUUCCGAUACCGGUCCCAUGGGCCAGUAUCACUGUGAAAUAUUAGUGCAUCUUACUAUCUUGGAACAUAUGAAGAGACGUUGUGGCCUUUUUUUCCUGCACCCCACUGGAUCCUGAGUGACCCCUAAGUGGGCUUUGGCUGUGGUCUCCCCCUCCUAGCACAUGGCAUUUGAAGAGUUGAGGAGCCACCAUGCCCAACCAGCAGCGUUUUAUAUAUAAUGAUUAGAGGCUUAAUUUCUACACAAUUUUUUGAGACAGAGUCUCUGUUGCUUAUGCUGGAGUGCAGUUGCCACAGUCUCGGCUCACUGCAACCCCCACCUCCCAGGUUCAAGCGAUUCUCUUCCCUUAUCCUCCCAAGUAGCUGGGAUUACGGGU
rnacentral:lncRNA from 1 species